AUACUAUGCCCAUUCUUUUCAUGUACGGACUGACUCACUCUACAGUAACACAGCGCAAGGGUAAUAUGCCAAUGAGAUGUGACCUUUGGCUGAAGAAGAAGAACCCAAACAUCAAAUGGACAACGUUAGGGCUCCCUCUAGAUGACCACAAGAAGACAGCUCCUGCCACCGAUUAUGAGCCUGCCUUCAGAUCCUGUACACUGAGUAAACGGACAGCCGUCACGCACGACACGUAUCUGAUGACCUUUGACCUUCCAGAGGGCACACAGUUCAAAGUUCCAGUCGGAAAUCAUGUCUAUCUCAAAGCAAACAUCAAGGGGGAAGAAGUGAGCAGACCAUAUACACCAGUCUUCCCAAGUCUACUCAAGGACGACGGGGACGAGGAGACGGAUGGACCCAAUUCCAGGAACAGCGUUCACCUCAUGCUCAAAGUAUAUCCACAGGGGCAGUUCACCCAACACUUAGCAACUCUCAAAGAAGGUGACAAUAUAGAGAUGAGCAACCACAGUGGUACCUUCGAUCACGAGUGUACAUACAAGCAGCUGACAGUGGUCUAUUUUAUCGCGGCAGGCACGGGCUUCACGCCCAUGGUUAAACUCAUCCAGAUGGGCCUGGCUGAAGAUUCCAAAUGCAAAUUAAAACUCCUCUUCUUCAACAAGACUCAGAAGGAUAUUGUAUGGAGGGAACAUUUGGACGAGUGUGCAGAGCAAAGCAAAGGAAGGUUUGAAGUCACUCACAUCCUGUCUGCUGAAGGUGCGCCGUCUUGGACGGGUCUCACGGGUCGCAUCAGUAAAGACCUGCUGGGCAAGAUGAUACCCAAGCAUGGACCCAAAGAAACUCCCGUCUUUGCCAUUUGUGGACCUACACCAUUCAUGAACACGGCUUACCAACUACUUCUUGAUGCUGGUAGUAAUGAGAAAUGCAUCUGCAUGUUCGCUGGGUGAUCACAAGAAGAGACAUUGGACAAAGAAAAUAGACUUUUGAUGAAAACAUUUUACUAUAGAUUGGAUUAGUUUUUAAAGUACAUCUCAGUGCUGCCUAUCCAACCAUAAAUACUUCAGACCUGUUAUGACUUGUUACGACCGCCCUAGCCUUACGACACAUCAACCUACAUGUAGCGAUAGUAUCGUCCUUGUUUUCACGAAGUGACGGUAGUGAGGAAAACCGUAACGCAAAGUGAAUGCAAUUUUUUUUCACUACCGUCACUUCGUGAAAACAAGGACGGUAUGUAGGUAUGGAGAUGUUUUGGGACUGGAUCAGUCUUUACAUCUGGGUGUUGCCCAUCCGCCAGGCCAUACCAUCGUCCUAUGAAUAUUUCAGACCUGUUCUGAGAACUUUUGAUUCGUUGACUGCCCUGCCAUCGACCUUAAUGCAGUAUUGAUACGUGUGUAUGGAGAUAUUUACGGCCAAACAGAGCUCUCGGGAAGAGCAAAGAUGCAUACAUGAGCAUCACUGUUUAUAGGAAAUCUUGCUUUUGCAGAUGCACAUCUAAAAUGAGCCCCGAUGAAUGAAGGAAAAAACACAC